AGUGAACGCUGGCGGUAGGCCUAACACAUGCAAGUCGAACGGCAGCACAGUAAGAGCUUGCUCUUACGGGUGGCGAGUGGCGGACGGGUGAGGAAUACAUCGGAAUCUACUUUUUCGUGGGGGAUAACGUAGGGAAACUUACGCUAAUACCGCAUACGACCUACGGGUGAAAGCAGGGGAUCUUCGGACCUUGCCCGAUUGAAUGAGCCGAUGUCGGAUUAGCUAGUUGGCGGGGUAAAGGCCCACCAAGGCGACGAUCCGUAGCUGGUCUGAGAGGAUGAUCAGCCACACUGGAACUGAGACACGGUCCAGACUCCUACGGGAGGCAGCAGUGGGGAAUAUUGGACAAUGGGCGCAAGCCUGAUCCAGCCAUACCGCGUGGGUGAAGAAGGCCUUCGGGUUGUAAAGCCCUUUUGUUGGGAAAGAAAAGCAGCAGGUUAAUACCCAGCUGUUCUGACGGUACCCAAAGAAUAAGCACCGGCUAACUUCGUG
rnacentral:rRNA from 1 species